UAGUGGCGCACGGGUGCGUAACGCGUAACCAACCUACCCGAAUCUGGGGAUAGCCCGCCGAAAGGCGGAUUAAUACCGCAUAAAACUGCAGUCCGGCAUCGGGUAACAGUUAAAGAUUUAUUGGAUUCGGAUGGGGUUGCGUGACAUUAGCUAGUUGGCGGGGUAACGGCCCACCAAGGCGACGAUGUCUAGGGGAGCUGAGAGGCUGGUCCCCCACACGGGCACUGAGAUACGGGCCCG
rnacentral:rRNA from 1 species